UACGAAGGGGGCUAGCGUUGUUCGGAAUCACUGGGCGUAAAGCGCGCGUAGGCGGAUUGUUAAGUCGGGGGUGAAAUCCCGAGGCUCAACCUCGGAACUGCCUUCGAUACUGGCGAUCUUGAGUCCGGGAGAGGUGAGUGGAACUCCUAGUGUAGAGGUGAAAUUCGUAGAUAUUAGGAAGAACACCAGUGGCGAAGGCGGCUCACUGGCCCGAUAUUGACGCUGAGGUGCGAAAGCGUGGGGAGCAAACAGG
rnacentral:rRNA from 1 species